rnacentral:lncRNA from 1 species
CCAAGCCAAUGUUCCCCACUCUGCGGCUGCCAUCUCCUCUUCUCUUAAGCCGACGUUCUCCUUUAGCCCUAGGAUAAAUCUCCAUCGAAUACCUUCCUCAUAUCCUUGCAAACCUCUCUUCGUUCACUGUCUUCCUCUUUUCCCAAACCCCUAACCCAUCCUACUCUUCUCCCAAACCCCAAACCUCUCGAUCCUCCUCUCCUCCCAAACCCCCAUCGACCCUCCUCCUCACCCCA